CAUAAAUGUAUGGAUCCAGCAUAAAGUAAACGCACAUCAAGACAUCAGCAAUACGCGAAAAGAUCGCACAAAAUUUACUUGUCGGAAAAAAUUGCGUCAACGGAAUUGAUAUCUCAUGCGACGAAUACGAUGCAAAUAAAUGCCAUCAGUUUGGCAAAGGCCAAUUCCUCAGUGGUAGGGAUAUUUUUGUGGUUGACGCCAUUUUGGGUAAUGAUCGCGCGACUCACGCGUCGAAUUAGUACCUUUUCCUGUUUGCGCCCAAUACGGCUCAAGGCAACAAACACCUGCGAGUUGAAAUAAGCGAUGCAGAAGCACAAAGUUGUUCCUGCAAACACAUAAAUAGCACAAUCGAAAAUGAUAAGGACGAUGCAAUUACCGAAAAGCAGAAACAAAUAGGCGUAAACGAUGUCUAAGACUUCGGUGGCUUGACGAUAGCGACAACAUUUUCCGUUCUCAUAGAACAAGCCAAACCCAAAAAACGGAGUGUAUGUCAACAGUGCAGCAAACACCCACAACAGAAAAAUUGUUCGUCCAAGGAAUACUUUCGUGACGUACUGCAACACAAUGAAACAAUACGAUACAUGAAAUCAAUUAGGAGCAAGUGGUCGAUUGAUUGGUUUCAAUUAGUGCAACUCAAUUGAUGUUGAAUUUUAGGGAGCCGUGACGCGGUUACGUGGUUACCUGUUGAUAGACAAAUGGCCUAGUCAAAGCGAGCCAUCGCUCGAUGGCCAUCACGAGCGCCACACACCCAGAACCCAAACCAAAAGCGCGCAGCAUCACAAAUAAUACACACAUCCAAUAAAUCGGAAUGGAUACCAUCUUGGGCAGCACCAUCAACGUGAGCAUGCCCAGCUGGGCGACCAAAUCGUUGACGGCCAAACAUCGCAGCAUCAACACAUGCUUGGCAUUCCGUGUUUUCGCCGAUUUGUACAAGAUCCAUAGUGCGAAAACAUUGCCACAGCUGCCGAGAACGAACGCGGUCGCGAUCAGCCAUUGCCGCAGAGCUCCAACGUCCAUCAUCAUUUCGAAAACAUAUCACACACACACACGCACGUACUCACGCACACAUAUUUACACUAGCAGCUAAUUUGAUAUCACAAUGACUAGACUAGACUUCCGACUGGACGUGGUUGUCGUAAUGCGACUACAUUUUGGGCGCACUUGGCUGGAGUGCUUUGUUGACGCUCACAUUGAAAGCAAACACGAUUAUCACUGGCCCCAAAACAGAGACGUUCAUUUGAAAUCGUUAGCAAGCAAACAUUUAGGCCGCAGAGGAUCGCAGGUAGAAGAUGGAGGAUCUUCACCUCUCAGUGGUCGACGGCGUACUCGGUCGUCUUGUAAUCGUUUCUCCGUUUCUAGCCGUUUGCCGUCCGAGUCUCCUCCUUGUGCGGUUGUCUAGGGCAUAAACUGAAACCGAGUGCGUGUCGAAUGGAACAAAUUCGACCGCGACGGCCACUAAAAACCUGCCCGCUCGAAUAUUAAUGCUCGCUUUAAUUUAAUUGAGUGACCAACAACAGCAAUAUAUUAGGAGAGUUUGUUUGUUUCAUUUUUAGCUCCAUUCACACGCUUUCACUUUCUCUGCGCGAGAGCUUCGACGAACUGAAACUGAAACCGAGUUUAUCACUGGUGUUUGACUUGUUGCAGCAUCAUGGGUAGUUUAUAUUCGUAUUUUUAUUCAUAAACAAUGCACAGUACAUAUAAAAUUACAGUAAGUACAGAA